CUACGGGUUGCACCAGUGGGGAAUUUUGGACAAUGGGGGAAACCCUGAUCCAGCCAUGCCGCGUGAGUGAAGAAGGCCUUCGGGUUGUAAAGCUCUUUCGGCUGGGAAGAAAUCGCACAGGCUAAUACUCUGUGUGGAUGACGGUACCAGCAUAAGAAGCACCGGCUAACUACGUGCCAGCAGCCGCGGUAAUACAUAGGGUGCGGGCGUUAAUCGGAAUUACUGGGCGUAAAGCGUGCGCAGGCGGUUGUGCAAGACAGAUGUGAAAUCCCCGGGCUCAACCUGGGAACUGCAUUUGUGACUGCACGACUAGAGUACGGCAGAGGGGGGUAGAAUUCCACGUGUAGCAGUGAAAUGCGUAGAGAUGUGGAGGAAUACCGAUGGCGAAGGCAGCCCCCUGGGCCGAUACUGACGCUCAUGCACGAAAGCGUGGGGAGCAAACAGGAUUAGAUACCCGGGUAGUC
rnacentral:rRNA from 1 species